rnacentral:rRNA from 1 species
GGCUAACUACGUGCCAGCAGCCGCGGUAAUACGUAGGGGGCGAGCGUUGUCCGGAAUUACUGGGCGUAAAGGGCGCGCAGGUGGCCUGUUAAGUCAGGUGUCAAAAUGCGGAGCUUAACUCCGUACCGCACUUGAUACUGGCAGGCUUGAGUGCAGGAGAGGAAAGUGGAAUUCCUAGUGUAGCGGUGAAAUGCGUAGAUAUUAGGAGGAACACCAGUGGCGAAGGCGACUUUCUGGACUGCAACUGACGCUGAGGCGCGAAAGCUAGGGGAGCGAACAGGAUUAGAUACCCUUGUAGUC